UAUUGGUCAAUGGCCGGAAGGCUGAACCAGCCAAGUCGCGUGAGGGAAUAAGGCCCUAUGGGUCGUAAACUUCUUUUGUCAGGGAGCAAAGGCGUCCACGUGUGGACGAAAGGAGAGUACCUGAAGAAAAAGCAUCGGCUCACUCCGUGACAGCAGCCGCGGGAAUACGGAGGAUGCGAGCGUUAUCCGGAUUUAUUGGGUUUAAAGGGUGCGCAGGCGGCCUGUUAAGUCAGAGGUAAAAGCCCGGGGCUCAACCCCGGCGAGCCGUUGAAACUGGCGGGCUGGAGUUGGAGAGAAGUACGCGGAAUGCGCGGUGUAGCGGUGAAAUGCUUAGAUAUCGCGCAGAACCCCGAUUGCGAAGGCAGCGUACCGGCUCCACACUGACGCUGAGGCACGAAAGCGUGGGUAUCG
rnacentral:rRNA from 1 species